GGGGAAGUUAUUCAAGAACUAUCAAGGGUUACCAAUACUUCCAGGAGUUUUUCGUCAGUUUGAUAGUUGGUAUGGACCAACAGAGGUAUGUUCCUUUGCUUAAUUUGUGUAGUCAAGGCAUGGUAACACCUUUUCGAGUAACAAUUGUUGGCUUGCAGUCUCGGGUGCUUUUCAGCCUCUUGUCGUUGUUUGAGGGCAGGGAGAUUGC
rnacentral:lncRNA from 1 species